AGCGAACGCUGGCGGCAGGCCUAACACAUGCAAGUCGAGCGGUAAGGCCCCUUCGGGGGUACACGAGCGGCGAACGGGUGAGUAACACGUGAGCAAUCUGCCCAUCACAUCGGGAUAACUCCGGGAAACCGAAGCUAAUACCGAAUACGACCACCUCCGGCAUCGGAUGGUGGUGGAAAGUUCCGGCGGUGAUGGAUGAGCUCGCGGCCUAUCAGCUUGUUGGUGGGGUAACGGCCUACCAAGGCUUCGACGGGUAGCCGGCCUGAGAGGGUGACCGGCCACACUGGGACUGAGACACGGCCCAGACUCCUACGGGAGGCAGCAGUGGGGAAUAUUGCACAAUGGGCGAAAGCCUGAUGCAGCAACGCCGCGUGAGGGACGACGGCCUUCGGGUUGUAAACCUCUUUCACCAGGGACGAAGCGUGAGUGACGGUACCUGGAGAAGAAGCACCGGCCAACUACGUGCCAGCAGCCGCGGUAACAC
rnacentral:rRNA from 1 species